GUCCUAUGUUCUGUAUGUAUAAUGGUUUUAGCUAUUUAUACUUUCUGCUUCCUUGAAGAAUUAAUCAUGGUUGGGAUCCCUGAUCAGCAGAAUAAUUGGAAAUUUGAAACUUCCAAUUUCAAAUAUUCGCAUCAGAUAUGAGGAUGUUGAGAGCAGGCAUAACCUUGGAGAGACUUUCAGCCAUGACAAUUGAUGAUAGUGAAAAGAGACAUUAGAGCUACUUUUAGAAGGCGGAUCUCAAUUACACAUCAGUUCUAUAGUCAACCCCCCGCAACUGGCUCAAAGACAGGUUAGUCUGGUCUAAUUAUUAUUGCAAAUAAUGCAAUAGAUUAGGGUCAUGUUGAUAUUAGAGUACUUACAUUGAGCAGACUGAUGUUUGGGGAAUUCGUGAGCAUUAAUUAAUACAAACAGGUUAAUUGAUACAAAUAGCGAAAAUUCUCUGUGUGGCUGUUGUCUUUCUAGCAAAAGGUUUUAUUACUUCAAACAACAAUCAUAAAAAAGGUUUGACCAAAUAGGCAAAUACAGUUUUCAUUUACAAAAUUUUUUCCUGUAAUUUGAUUGACAUGUUUGACGAUUAAUUGUGGUUUCUCAAUUUUAUUGAAUAGGCAAUGGUAUACUUUUGGCGCUGACAAAGCAGUUGUGUGACACCAAUGAAAUUCAUGCAUCAUCAGUUUUGAAGAUCCGAU